AGCAGCCGCGGUAAUUCCAGCUCCAAUAGCGUAUAUUAAAGUUGUUGCAGUUAAAAAGCUCGUAGUUGAAUUUCGGGAUCAUCAGGUUGGUCGUGCCUCUGGUAUGUACUGAUUUCGAUGGUUCCUCCUUCUUGAAGAACCGUAAUGCCAUUAAUUUGGUGUUGCGGGGAAACAGGACUGUUACUUUGAAAAAAUUAGAGUGUUUAAAGCAGGCAAUCGCUUGAAUACAUUAGCAUGGAAUAAUGAAAUAGGACGUUCGAUCCUAUUUUGUUGGUUUCUAGGAUUGACGUAAUGAUUAAUAGGGAUAGUUGGGGGCAUUAGUAUUCAAUUGUCAGAGGUGAAAUUCUUGGAUUUAUUGAAGACUAACUACUGCGAAAGCAUUUGCCAAGGAUGUUUUCAUUAAUCAAGAACGAAAGUUAGGGGAUCGAAGACGAUCAGAUACCGUCGUAGUCUUAACCAUAAACUAUGCCGACUAGGGAUCGGAUGAUGUAAUUUUUAAUGACUCAUUCGGCGCCUUAAC
rnacentral:rRNA from 1 species